CAAUGGAGGGACUAAAACACUGUGCCUCUGUGAAGCUGCAGUGAGAGUCCCAGGAUCUAAGGAAGGAAGGAAGUGCUUUGCAGAAAACUGCAAAAUUCAUCUUGAAUCGAAAGGAACUUGGCUCUUUCUGCUCCUUCAGAAUCCUUGAUACAAGUCAUGCUUUCCUGAAAAAAUUUCUCGGCCACAUCUGAGAAGAGCAUAGAACAACAAUUUUGAAAAUAGCUCAAAGAUCUGAGCAGAGAUGGAGCAAGCAUGCUGUUAGUGACAGUGAAACAUGAAAUGUUUGAAAAUGAGCACUUGGACAAGAGACUCCAGUUCAAGGGACUCUCCCGCACCCAUUAACCUGCCUGUGGUAGCAGAAAUUAUUGAAGUCUCAGAAGGAUACUGCAACUUGCUUUCCUUAUUUUUCAGAAAUUUUAGUGUUCCUAGUGUUAUACAAAGCAAAAUUAAUGGGGUGACAAAGGAGAAACUGUCCCCAGACCUGAGCACAUUAGGGUAUUGUCGUGUUGACUGAGAGUGCAUUUUCUCUGCUUAGGCACCAGCCACUCCUCACAGCUCACCAGGUUUUACAGACUCUAACUGUAAUCUUGUUAUAUAUUUCUAUAACACACAUACACACGCCAAUAGACAAAACAGAAAAACAAAACAAACAAACCAAAAGAAAGUCUGGUUGGGUUGAUAUACCACUGAAGAAGAACCCCAACCAUUCUAAACCCUUAAGCACGCCGAUUAAUAAAACAAAAAAAAAAACCAUUUCAAGUAAAUGACAACCAGAAAA